GGAAUGAGUAAUUAAUCAAAGAGAAAUCUUAAGCCCUAUUUACACAAUCCGCUUCCCUAAAGAAUUUUAGGACUUUAUUGAAAGAUAAAUGACUCUAAUCAUAACAAAUUUCAUAUUUUGCUUUCCUAAAUUUUUGUUCAAUUUAUUUUUUUAGUAAUAUUGCCCCUCAUGGAUCAUUCCUAAUAAAAUCCAUCUCUUGACUGCUCCUAGGGCGGGCCCCAUCCACAUAGUCAAGAUUGUAAAGUAUACAAACCAUUAACAUUGAAGAGAGGAAGGGUAACAAUGGCCCAAAGAUCCAAAGUUGAAGUGUAAUUGCUGUAUAGAAAAGCCUAUUUCCAAUUAUGUUCAACAACAUUGCCUUUCCAAGAUGUUGGGUCAAAUAUUCUGGUGUUACCAUGGACUUAACAUUUUGUGGAAUGCAAAUUAGCAUAUUCACUUGAUUGAUAAAUGCUGUUGAUAAAGUGAGACAAACAAAUGAGAAUGAUAACAUUGUUAGUACUAUGGCAUAUUUUAAUACCACAACAAAAUCACCAUGUGCUCCAAAAACUGAUUCUUUGAUUGGCU
rnacentral:lncRNA from 1 species